rnacentral:lncRNA from 1 species
ACUGUAUUUCAGGUUUUUAUGCAUGCAUUUAUUUUAUAAAAAAUAUUGGACAACUGGCAGUAUAGGAAUUUGAUGCAAAAGCUGUUAAUUUGAAGUAUACUGCUACAUUUAUAGCAAGAUUAAUGUGAAUUUUAAUUAUUGCUUUAUAUGUGUUCAUCUAUCACAGUUUAGCAGCAUUGUUGAAUGUAUGAACCAAGGCCAACAAGGUCAGACUUGGUAUUGUACUCAAUUGUGCUUAAGGAGACUCGAGGGUACAAAAAUUCAGCAAAAAUUAAAACAUUUCUUUUUUCAUUACAAAUUUUAUUUAUUACACUAACUAGUUGUUACUUUGAGAUAAGGUACGAAAAUCAACCAAAAAAUCUAUUCGUUUUGGCCCCAGAUGACUUUAAAAUGUUUAUAUCAUUGAAAAAGCUCCAAGUUAUCUUCCUUUGGUGAAUAAAUGCCAUUUUUUUGCAUAAGAAUUGAAAUAACUUGUUUAACUCAUCGGUGACCUAUAUUUUUUUUAUUUUUUUUUUCAAAUAAACUGUACUUUAACUAAACUAUUGUAAAAUUUUAGUGAUUUCUGUAAUUUAGUUCUUUUUUAUUUCGAUAUUACCUUUUUUCUCCUAUUAGUUCAACAGAAUAAAAGUUUUGCAAAAACUGGAUAGUCGAAAUGAAAUUUUACUAGUCUGGGGCAUUGGACUAGUUGCUAACCAAGCAGAGUGAAGUUUAUUUAUAGAAAAAAAAUUAGCAAAAUCGUAUGUUUAAAAAUAAAAUGAUUUAUACCUGUGGGCCCCCUUCAAUUUAAUUUUGGGCCUCUUUUAGUUGGAAAUUCAUUUUUUUGUGAAACUGAUGAAACCAUAAUUUUUCAAUGCAAAAAGGUGAUUAAGAUUGAUUAUUCUUUAUGUGUCAUAUAAGUUAAUUUACCAAUUGCUUGCUUGCUCCAAUAAGAAAUUUUGCUUGAAGUAGAUAUAUAAUAUUCUAAUUUUGAAAAUAGCUGCAUUGUUUUGGUGCUAUAAAUUGUUUUGACAUCACUAGUUUAUUCUUCAUAGUGUGUUCUGUUAUUUGUUUGUGUAUAAAGCAUUACGUUUUUUUUUUGACAUACUCACCUUACUAUUGAUUAAUUAUAUUGGGAAUGGAUUUUGUCUCGCCUUGAAAAAGUCGUGGAAGCUUUUGUUUUUUUUGGCAGUGCCAACAAAUUGUUAAGUUUGUGAUAAUCUAAUUUCAAGGAAAUGUAUGAGAUUUGGCACAUCUCAUUUUAUAUAAAAAAAAAUCUGGCACUGUACAUUGUACGCUUCUCAUGAUAGGGGGAGGGUUGAGAUCUCAUAAACAUGUUUAACUCCGCCACAUUUUUGCGCCUGUCCCAAGUCAGGAUCUGGCCUUUGUUAGUCUUGUAUUAUUUUAAUUUUAGUUUCUUGUGUACAAUUUGGAAAUUAGUAUGGCGUUCAUUAUCACUGAACUAGUAUAUAUUUGUUUAGGGGCCAGCUGAAGGACGCCUCCGAGUGAGGGAAUUUCUUGCUACAUUGAAGACCUGUUGGCGACCUUCUGCUGUUGUUUUUUUCUAUGGUCCGGGUUGUUGUCUCUUUGACACAUUUCCCAUAUCCAUUCUCAAUUUUACUGAUUGAAACUUUUGUUAGUUUACAUUUUACAUAUUAGAGUUUAUGAUUAGGUCUGGUUAAAGGGAACCAAUGGUACUAGGUCAAUACUGAAUGUAACCUUUAUGGUUUCCCACGUGUGAACCAUGAUUCAAAUAUAGAUAUGGUUUAAUUAGAUUUGAUUUCAUUGAAGGUUCUCUCAGUUUCAAGGAUUUAAAACUUAAAUGGCAUAAAACAAAAUUAUUUUUUACCCAAUUUAAUAGAAUUUUAUAUCUCAUUCUAAGGGUUAGUGCUAUCUAUAUAUAUUGGGAUCACAUUUACAAAGUUCAUUUAUGUUUUUAAAAAGAAUCUUUUUACACAUAAAGUGAUUUUUUAAGGAUCACCACUUAGUGGUCAGAGCUAAUAAUGUGGCCAACCCAUGCCAAUCAUUCAAUUUUUUUUUUUUGGGGGGGUGGGGCAUUAUAUGGUUAUACAUAUUGAUUUUUACCUAAAUCUAUAUGGGUGAAUACAAAUGGCAUUUACAUUUUGCACCUGGAAACACAUAUGAAUCAAUUAAGCAAUUUGACAGAAAAAGGGUUUCGGGGAGGGGCAAAAUUCUGGAUGAGGCUAUUCUUUUAGGUGUGGGUUGAAGAAAUGCUAAAAUUGUCGUAUUUGGAAGAUGAAUAAUACCCUGGUACGGUAUAUUUAUUUAUAUACAUUCAUCCAUUCAUAUGGAUGUGUUAUACUCAUGUUACAAAUGUGAUGUUUUGUUGAGAUUGUACUGGUGCACUCUGUCUAGGAAUGACAGAAUUUCUUAAACUCAAGAUAUCAAAGAUAGUUCAAAACCUAUUAAUAUUUAAUAUGUGUUAUUGAUGAGCCUUCUAUCAUACAAGACAAUUUAUGAAUGAAGAGGAAUGUUAUUUUUCUUAAUCUCCACUUGCAGCACAUUGGUCUUUUUUUGUAAAUACACAGUGUGUUGAUUGUCUAUGAAUGGUGAGAUCUGUGAU